GACGAACGCUGGCGGCGUGCUUAACACAUGCAAGUCGAACGGAAAGGCCCUGCUUUUGUGGGGUGCUCGAGUGGCGAACGGGUGAGUAACACGUGAGUAACCUGCCCUUGACUUUGGGAUAACUUCAGGAAACUGGGGCUAAUACCGGAUAGGAGCUCCUGCUGCAUGGUGGGGGUUGGAAAGUUUCGGCGGUUGGGGAUGGACUCGCGGCUUAUCAGCUUGUUGGUGGGGUAGUGGCUUACCAAGGCUUUGACGGGUAGCCGGCCUGAGCGGGUGACCGGCUACAUUGGGACUGAGCUACGGCACAGACUAGAACCCGACGCAGCAGUGGGGAAUAUUGCACAAUGCGCGGAAGCCUGAUCCAGCAACGCCGCGUGCGGGAUGACGGCCUUCGGGUUGUAAACCGCUUUCGCCUGAGACGAAGCGUGAGUGACGGUACUGGGUAAAGAAGCACCGGCUAACUACGUG
rnacentral:rRNA from 1 species